AUGCAAGUCGAACGGUGUAAGCAGUGAGCUUGCUCUUCGUGGAUCAGUGGCGAACGGGUGAGUAACACGUGAGCAACCUGCCCCGGACUCUGGGAUAAGCGCUGGAAACGGCGUCUAAUACUGGAUACGAGUAGCGACCGCAUGGUCAGCUAUUGGAAAGAAUUUCGGUCUGGGAUGGGCUCGCGGCCUAUCAGCUUGUUGGUGAGGUAAUGGCUCACCAAGGCGUCGACGGGUAGCCGGCCUGAGAGGGUGACCGGCCACACUGGGACUGAGACACGGCCCAGACUCCUACGGGAGGCAGCAGUGGGGAAUAUUGCACAAUGGGCGAAAGCCUGAUGCAGCAACGCCGCGUGAGGGAUGACGGCCUUCGGGUUGUAAACCUCUUUUAGUAGGGAAGAAGCGAAAGUGACGGUACCUGCAGAAAAAGCGCCGGCUAACUACGUGCCAGCAGCCGCGGUAAUACGUAGGGCGCAAGCGUUAUCCGGAAUUAUUGGGCGUAAAGAGCUCGUAGGCGGUUUGUCGCGUCUGCUGUGAAAUCUGGGGGCUCAACCCCCAGCCUGCAGUGGGUACGGGCAGACUAGAGUGCGGUAGGGGAGAUUGGAAUUCCUGGUGUAGCGGUGGAAUGCGCAGAUAUCAGGAGGAACACCGAUGGCGAAGGCAGAUCUCUGGGCCGUAACUGACGCUGAGGAGCGAAAGGGUGGGGAGCAAACAGGCUUAGAUACCCUGGUAGUCCACCCCGUAAACGUUGGGAACUAGUUGUGGGGUCCAUUCCACGGAUUCCGUGACGCAGCUAACGCAUUAAGUUCCCCGCCUGGGGAGUACGGCCGCAAGGCUAAAACUCAAAGGAAUUGACGGGGACCCGCACAAGCGGCGGAGCAUGCGGAUUAAUUCGAUGCAACGCGAAGAACCUUACCAAGGCUUGACAUAUACGAGAACGGGCCAGAAAUGGUCAACUCUUUGGACACUCGUAAACAGGUGGUGCAUGUUGUCGUCAGCUCCUGUCCUGAGAUGUUGGGUUAAGUCCGCAACGAGCGCAACCCUCGUUCUAUGUUCCAGCCCGUAAUGGUGGGAACUCAUGGAUACUGCCGGGUCAACUCGAAGAAGGUGGG
rnacentral:rRNA from 1 species